GGUUAAGCGACUAAGCGUACACGGUGGAUGCCCUGGCAGUCAGAGGCGAUGAAGGACGUGCUAAUCUGCGAUAAGCGUCGGUAAGGUGAUAUGAACCGUUAUAACCGGCGAUUUCCGAAUGGGGAAACCCAGUGUGAUUCGUCACACUAUCAUUAACUGAAUCCAUAGGUUAAUGAGGCGAACCGGGGGAACUGAAACAUCUAAGUACCCCGAGGAAAAGAAAUCAACCGAGAUUCCCCCAGUAGCGGCGAGCGAACGGGGAGCAGCCCAGAGCCUGAAUCAGUGUGUGUGUUAGUGGAAGCGUCUGGAAAGGCGCGCGAUACAGGGUGACAGCCCCGUACACAAAAAUGCACAUGCUGUGAGCUCGAUGAGUAGGGCGGGACACGUGGUAUCCUGUCUGAAUAUGGGGGACCAUCCUCCAAGGCUAAAUACUCCUGACUGACCGAUAGUGAACCAGUACCGUGAGGGAAAGGCGAAAAGAACCCCGGCGAGGGGAGUGAAAAAGAACCUGAAACCGUGUACGUACAAGCAGUGGGAGCACGCUUAGGCGUGUGACUGCGUACCUUUUGUAUAAUGGGUCAGCGACUUAUAUUCUGUAGCAAGGUUAACCGAAUAGGGGAGCCGAAGGGAAACCGAGUCUUAACUGGGCGUUAAGUUGCAGGGUAUAGACCCGAAACCCGGUGAUCUAGCCAUGGGCAGGUUGAAGGUUGGGUAACACUAACUGGAGGACCGAACCGACUAAUGUUGAAAAAUUAGCGGAUGACUUGUGGCUGGGGGUGAAAGGCCAAUCAAACCGGGAGAUAGCUGGUUCUCCCCGAAAGCUAUUUAGGUAGCGCCUCGUGAAUUCAUCUCCGGGGGUAGAGCACUGUUUCGGCAAGGGGGUCAUCCCGACUUACCAACCCGAUGCAAACUGCGAAUACCGGAGAAUGUUAUCACGGGAGACACACGGCGGGUGCUAACGUCCGUCGUGAAGAGGGAAACAACCCAGACCGCCAGCUAAGGUCCCAAAGUCAUGGUUAAGUGGGAAACGAUGUGGGAAGGCCCAGACAGCCAGGAUGUUGGCUUAGAAGCAGCCAUCAUUUAAAGAAAGCGUAAUAGCUCACUGGUCGAGUCGGCCUGCGCGGAAGAUGUAACGGGGCUAAACCAUGCACCGAAGCUGCGGCAGCGACGCUGAUGCGUUGUUGGGUAGGGGAGCGUUCUGUAAGCCUGCGAAGGUGUGCUGUGAGGCAUGCUGGAGGUAUCAGAAGUGCGAAUGCUGACAUAAGUAACGAUAAAGCGGGUGAAAAGCCCGCUCGCCGGAAGACCAAGGGUUCCUGUCCAACGUUAAUCGGGGCAGGGUGAGUCGACCCCUAAGGCGAGGCCGAAAGGCGUAGUCGAUGGGAAACAGGUUAAUAUUCCUGUACUUGGUGUUACUGCGAAGGGGGGACGGAGAAGGCUAUGUUGGCCGGGCGACGGUUGUCCCGGUUUAAGCGUGUAGGCUGGUUUUCCAGGCAAAUCCGGAAAAUCAAGGCUGAGGCGUGAUGACGAGGCACUACGGUGCUGAAGCAACAAAUGCCCUGCUUCCAGGAAAAGCCUCUAAGCAUCAGGUAACAUCAAAUCGUACCCCAAACCGACACAGGUGGUCAGGUAGAGAAUACCAAGGCGCUUGAGAGAACUCGGGUGAAGGAACUAGGCAAAAUGGUGCCGUAACUUCGGGAGAAGGCACGCUGAUAUGUAGGUGAAGCGACUUGCUCGUGGAGCUGAAAUCAGUCGAAGAUACCAGCUGGCUGCAACUGUUUAUUAAAAACACAGCACUGUGCAAACACGAAAGUGGACGUAUACGGUGUGACGCCUGCCCGGUGCCGGAAGGUUAAUUGAUGGGGUCAGCGCAAGCGAAGCUCUUGAUCGAAGCCCCGGUAAACGGCGGCCGUAACUAUAACGGUCCUAAGGUAGCGAAAUUCCUUGUCGGGUAAGUUCCGACCUGCACGAAUGGCGUAAUGAUGGCCAGGCUGUCUCCACCCGAGACUCAGUGAAAUUGAACUCGCUGUGAAGAUGCAGUGUACCCGCGGCAAGACGGAAAGACCCCGUGAACCUUUACUAUAGCUUGACACUGAACAUUGAGCCUUGAUGUGUAGGAUAGGUGGGAGGCUUUGAAGUGUGGACGCCAGUCUGCAUGGAGCCGACCUUGAAAUACCACCCUUUAAUGUUUGAUGUUCUAACGUUGACCCGUGAUCCGGGUUGCGGACAGUGUCUGGUGGGUAGUUUGACUGGGGCGGUCUCCUCCUAAAGAGUAACGGAGGAGCACGAAGGUUGGCUAAUCCUGGUCGGACAUCAGGAGGUUAGUGCAAUGGCAUAAGCCAGCUUGACUGCGAGCGUGACGGCGCGAGCAGGUGCGAAAGCAGGUCAUAGUGAUCCGGUGGUUCUGAAUGGAAGGGCCAUCGCUCAACGGAUAAAAGGUACUCCGGGGAUAACAGGCUGAUACCGCCCAAGAGUUCAUAUCGACGGCGGUGUUUGGCACCUCGAUGUCGGCUCAUCACAUCCUGGGGCUGAAGUAGGUCCCAAGGGUAUGGCUGUUCGCCAUUUAAAGUGGUACGCGAGCUGGGUUUAGAACGUCGUGAGACAGUUCGGUCCCUAUCUGCCGUGGGCGCUGGAGAACUGAGGGGGGCUGCUCCUAGUACGAGAGGACCGGAGUGGACGCAUCACUGGUGUUCGGGUUGUCAUGCCAAUGGCACUGCCCGGUAGCUAAAUGCGGAAGAGAUAAGUGCUGAAAGCAUCUAAGCACGAAACUUGCCCCGAGAUGAGUUCUCCCUGACUCCUUGAGAGUCCUGAAGGAACGUUGAAGACGACGACGUUGAUAGGCCGGGUGUGUAAGCGCAGCGAUGCGUUGAGCUAACCGGUACUAAUGAACCGUGAGGCUUAACCUU
rnacentral:rRNA from 1 species